UACGUGAGGGUGCGAGCGUUGUCCGGAAUUAUUGGGCGUAAAGAGCUUGUAGGCGGCUUGUUGCGUCAGCUGUGAAAACCCGCAGCUCAACUGUGGGCUUGCAGCUGAUACGGGCAGACUAGAGUACUGCAGGGGAGACUGGAAUUCCUGGUGUAGCGGUGGAAUGCGCAGAUAUCAGGAGGAACACCGGUGGCGAAGGCGGGUCUCUGGGCAAGUAACGUACGCUGGAGGAGCGAAAGCGUGGGGAGCGAACAGG
rnacentral:rRNA from 1 species